GACGUAGGGCGCGAGCGUUGUCCGGAUUUAUUGGGCGUAAAGAGCUCGUAGGCGGCUUGUCGCGUCGACUGUGAAAACCCGCGGCUCAACCGCGGCCUGCAGUCGAUACGGGCAGGCUAGAGUUCGGUAGGGAGACUGGAAUUCCUGGUGUAGCGGUGAAAUGCGCAGAUAUCAGGAGGAACACCGGUGGCGAAGGCGGUUCUCUGGGCCUACCUGACGCUGAGGAGCGAAAGCGUGGGAGCGAACAGG
rnacentral:rRNA from 1 species